CAGCAGCCGCGGGAAAACGAAGGGUGCAAGCGUUACUCGGAAUUACUGGGCGUAAAGCGUGCGUAGGUGGUGGUUUAAGUACGUUGUGAAAGCCCUGGGCUCAACCUGGGAAUUGCAGUGGAUACUGGGUCACUAGAGUGUGGUAGAGGAUAGUGGAAUUUCAGGUGUAGCAGUGAAAUGCGUAGAGAUCGGAAGGAACAUCUGUGGCGAAGGCGACUAUCUGGGCCAACACUGACACUGAGGCACGAAAGCGUGGGGAGCAAACAGGAUUAGAUACCCGCGUAGUCCCUGUCUCUUAUAA
rnacentral:rRNA from 1 species